rnacentral:rRNA from 1 species
GACGAACGCUGGCGGCGUGCUUAACACAUGCAAGUCGAGCGGGAAACUUCGGUUUCCAGCGGCGGACGGGUGAGUAACACGUGGGCAACCUGCCUCACAAUGAGGGAUAGCCUUCCGAAAGGAAGAUUAAUACCUCAUAACACAAGAGAAACGCAUGUUUCUUUUGCCAAAGAAUUUCGUUGUGAGAUGGGCCCGCGGGGCAUUAGCUUGGUGGUGAGGUAACGGCUCACCAAGGGUUCGAUGCGUAGCCGACCUGAGAGGGUGAUCGGCCACAUUGGAACUGAGACACGGUCCAGACUCCUACGGGAGGCAGCAGUGGGGAAUAUUGCACAAUGGAGGAAACUCUGAUGCAGCAACGCCGCGUGAGUGAUGAAGGUCUUCGGAUUGUAAAGCUCUGUCUUCUGGGACGAUAAUGACGGUACCAGAGGAGGAAGCCACGGCUAACUACGUGCCAGCAGCCGCCGUAA